rnacentral:rRNA from 1 species
UACGAAGGGGGCUAGCGUUGCUCGGAAUCACUGGGCGUAAAGCGCACGUAGGCGGCUUCUUAAGUCAGGGGUGAAAUCCUGGAGCUCAACUCCAGAACUGCCUUUGAUACUGAGAGCUCGAGUCCGGGAGAGGUGAGUGGAACUGCGAGUGUAGAGGUGAAAUUCGUAGAUAUUCGCAAGAACACCAGUGGCGAAGGCGGCUCACUGGCCCGGUACUGACGCUGAGGUGCGAAAGCGUGGGGAGCAAACAGG